AGCAGCAGCCGCGGUAAUACCGAGGGUGCGAGCGUUAAUCGGAUUUACUGGGCGUAAAGCGUGCGUAGGCGGCUUCUUAAGUCGGAUGUGAAAUCCCUGAGCUUAACUUAGGAAUUGCAUUCGAUACUGGGAAGCUAGAGUAUGGGAGAGGAUGGUAGAAUUCCAGGUGUAGCGGUGAAAUGCGUAGAGAUCUGGAGGAAUACCGAUGGCGAAGGCAGCCAUCUGGCCUAAUACUGACGCUGAGGUACGAAAGCAUGGGGAGCAAACAGGAUUAGAUACCCGGGUAGUCCCUGUCUCUUAUAA
rnacentral:rRNA from 1 species